ACGCUCGACACCUACGGGAGUCAGCAGUGGGGAAUAUUGCACAAUGGGGGAAACCCUGAUGCAGCGACGCCGCGUGGAGGAAGAAGGUCUUCGGAUUGUAAACUCCUGUUGUUGGGAAAAGAGGAUGGUACCCAACAAGGAAGUGACGGCUAACUACGUCGCACAGCCGCGGUAAUCUGAGCGGGCUGGCAAGGC
rnacentral:rRNA from 1 species